rnacentral:rRNA from 1 species
UGUUCUAUGAAAUCAAAUAUAGAAUAAUCUCCUGCCCAAUGAUAUUUAAUGGCCGCGGUAUCCUAACCGUGCAAAGGUAGCAUAAUAAUUUGCCCAUUAAUUGUGGGAUAGAAUGAAGGGGGUAACGAAAUCAGAUCUAUGCCCAUAAGUUUUUUAUAAAUUAAUAUGGUAGUGAAGAAGCUCUCAUACAAAUAAAGGACAAGAAGACCCUAUAGAGCUUAUAUCUUAAAUAUAUAUUCUAUAUAAACGAUUUGGUUGGGGCGACCCAGGAAAACUCAUCCUUAAGUAUUAGAUUUAUUAAUCCUAAAAUAGAUCCCAUUAAGAUCUAAAAAACUAGUUACCUUAGGGAUAACAGGCUAAUUCUACUAUAGAGUUCAUAUCAACAGUAGAGAUUGGCACCUCGAUGUUGGCUUAAAUUCUCUAAUUGACGCAGAAGUCUUUAAAGGGGGUUUGUUCAACCCAUAAAUAUUU